rnacentral:rRNA from 1 species
UUGAAGAGUUUGAUCAUGGCUCAGAUUGAACGCUGGCGGCAGGCCUAACACAUGCAAGUCGAACGGUAACAGAAAGCAGCUUGCUGCUUUGCUGACGAGUGGCGGACGGGUGAGUAAUGUCUGGGAAACUGCCUGAUGGAGGGGGAUAACUACUGGAAACGGUAGCUAAUACCGCAUAACGUCGCAAGACCAAAGAGGGGGACCUUAGGGCCUCUUGCCAUCGGAUGUGCCCAGAUGGGAUUAGCUAGUAGGUGGGGUAAAGGCUCACCUAGGCGACGAUCCCUAGCUGGUCUGAGAGGAUGACCAGCCACACUGGAACUGAGACACGGUCCAGACUCCUACGGGAGGCAGCAGUGGGGAAUAUUGCACAAUGGGCGCAAGCCUGAUGCAGCCAUGCCGCGUGUAUGAAGAAGGCCUUCGGGUUGUAAAGUACUUUCAGCGGGGAGGAAGGGAGUAAAGUUAAUACCUUUGCUCAUUGACGUUACCCGCAGAAGAAGCACCGGCUAACUCCGUGCCAGCAGCCGCGGUAAUACGGAGGGUGCAAGCGUUAAUCGGAAUUACUGGGCGUAAAGCGCACGCAGGCGGUUUGUUAAGUCAGAUGUGAAAUCCCCGGGCUCAACCUGGGAACUGCAUCUGAUACUGGCAAGCUUGAGUCUCGUAGAGGGGGGUAGAAUUCCAGGUGUAGCGGUGAAAUGCGUAGAGAUCUGGAGGAAUACCGGUGGCGAAGGCGGCCCCCUGGACGAAGACUGACGCUCAGGUGCGAAAGCGUGGGGAGCAAACAGGAUUAGAUACCCUGGUAGUCCACGCCGUAAACGAUGUCGACUUGGAGGUUGUGCCCUUGAGGCGUGGCUUCCGGAGCUAACGCGUUAAGUCGACCGCCUGGGGAGUACGGCCGCAAGGUUAAAACUCAAAUGAAUUGACGGGGGCCCGCACAAGCGGUGGAGCAUGUGGUUUAAUUCGAUGCAACGCGAAGAACCUUACCUGGUCUUGACAUCCACGGAAGUUUUCAGAGAUGAGAAUGUGCCUUCGGGAACCGUGAGACAGGUGCUGCAUGGCUGUCGUCAGCUCGUGUUGUGAAAUGUUGGGUUAAGUCCCGCAACGAGCGCAACCCUUAUCCUUUGUUGCCAGCGGUCCGGCCGGGAACUCAAAGGAGACUGCCAGUGAUAAACUGGAGGAAGGUGGGGAUGACGUCAAGUCAUCAUGGCCCUUACGACCAGGGCUACACACGUGCUACAAUGGCGCAUACAAAGAGAAGCGACCUCGCGAGAGCAAGCGGACCUCAUAAAGUGCGUCGUAGUCCGGAUUGGAGUCUGCAACUCGACUCCAUGAAGUCGGAAUCGCUAGUAAUCGUGGAUCAGAAUGCCACGGUGAAUACGUUCCCGGGCCUUGUACACACCGCCCGUCACACCAUGGGAGUGGGUUGCAAAAGAAGUAGGUAGCUUAACCUUCGGGAGGGCGCUUACCACUUUGUGAUUCAUGACUGGGGUGAAGUCGUAACAAGGUAACCGUAGGGGAACCUGCGGUUGGAUCACCUCCUU